GAGUUUGAUCAUGGCUCAGAUUGAACGCUGGCGGCAUGCCUUACACAUGCAAGUCGAACGGCAGCACGGGAGCUUGCUCCUGGUGGCGAGUGGCGAACGGGUGAGUAAUGCAUCGGAACGUAUCCUGGAGUGGGGAUAACGUAGCGAAAGUUACGCUAAUACCGCAUAUUCUGUGAGCAGGAAAGCGGGGGACCUUCGGGCCUCGCGCUCUUGGAGCGGCCGACGUCGGAUUAGCUAGUUGGUGAGGUAAAGGCUCACCAAGGCGACGAUCCGUAGCAGGUCUGAGAGGAUGAUCUGCCACACUGGAACUGAGACACGGUCCAGACUCCUACGGGAGGCAGCAGUGGGAUUUGGACAAUGGGGCACCCUGAUCCAGCCAUGCCGCGUGAGUG
rnacentral:rRNA from 1 species